UAACGAUAUACGAUAGCUUCAAGACAAUAAUCCUUUUCUUGUUAGCACCGUCUGUAGACUCUGUACCUCUCUUUCUCUCUCUGUCUCUCUGGUUUCUGCAAAAUGAAGGCUUCGAUUAAAGGCAGAUACGAAGCAGAGAAAAGCAACGGCCCGGUCGCCGUUGCUGCGCUCAGUUUUAACGCUGGCGAUUUCAAGCUCCGAGCUUCCUGCGACGACUCCACUUUCGUCAACGGCCCUAGCUUAAACGGCUUGGCUUUAGGCGUCGAGAAACCCGGCUUCUUCAUCGUCGAUUACAGCGUCCCCGAUAAGGAUUUCCGGUUUCAGUUUAUGAACACCGCUAGGGUUGCAGACAAAUCGUUGAAUCUGACUUACAUUCACAACAGUGGCCACAACAGGACAAUUUUGGACGGAACCCUGGUGCUCGAUUCUGCGAACAAGCUGUCGGCUAAUCACGCGCUUGGCUCGAGAAAUUGCAAGUUGAAGUACACUUAUGUUCACGAAGGGGGGACAACCUUUGAACCGUGCUACGAUUGGGCGAAGAAUUCUUGGGACUUUGCAGUGGCACGGAAGGUUUAUGUUGAUGAUGUGUUGAGGGCUUGGUACCAAACAUCGAGUCAAGUGUUGGGACUGGAAUGGUCAAGAAACUCGAAGCAGAACGGUUCCUUCAAGCUGAGGGUUUAUGAGAUCUACAAUGCUCAUAUAAUCCAGUGAUGUCUGCACUUAACAUUCAACCCUGUCUGAGAAUUUUCAGAGAAAAGGAAAAAAUUGAUUUUAGCAUCAGUCAAUUUGGCUGAGGAGAAAAAGAUGCCAAAACUAAUUGCUGAGAGUACUUGGAAUUUGGAGAUUUGAUCGUCUUAGAACACAUAUUUUUUGGGGGGGUUCAUUUGCUUGUUGAAAUUUCUAAAGAUCAGUCAGACAGCUAUCUAAUGGUUUCAAUCCCCCGAAACUAGAGCAUCUAUACGAACGCUGUAUAUUCAUAAGUGACCUGAUAUCCUGGUAAGGACCAGCUCAAUGGCAUUGACUCUCAAUUGUUUGUUUCUUUUUUGAAAUAUGGUGAAUUGCAAAACGACUUUCCCAUCUUUCACCAUUAAUUCAUUGAGUUUCAUAA